rnacentral:snoRNA from 1 species
UUGACAGAAGGCGGCCUUACCUCCUUUGGCUGUCUUAUUGUGGCGUAUGGGAGCCUGUAAAUUCAUCUUCGGAUGGGUGUUAUAAGGUGUAUUCCCCUUCCACGAUGUCGUAGAUAAAACACAAGUCCCCGGUCUUUCACGAGGCUGGUGUGGACUUGAAGCCAUGAAUAUUCCUUUUCUUCCCUUAGCUCUUUGAGCAGUGAUAGGGAGGGGAAACCCUUCAGGGCACAUGA